rnacentral:rRNA from 1 species
AACGAACGCUGGCGGCAUGCCUAACACAUGCAAGUCGAACGAGACCUUCGGGUCUAGUGGCGCACGUGUGCUUACCGCGUGGGAACCUGCCCUUAGGUUCCGUAUACUUCCCCGUAAGGGGUGCUAAUACCGGUUAAUCUCAUCCGGCCUAAGAUGUCUCGCUUUUGGAUGGGCCCGCGUCGGAUUCGCUAGUUGGUAGGGGACAAGCCUCCCAAGGCGACGAUGCAUAGCUGGUCUGUUACGAUGAUUAGCCAGACUGGGAAUGAGACACGGCCCAGACUGGUACGGGAGGGAGCAGUAGGGAGUAUUGGGCGAUGGGCGAAAGCCUGAUACAGCAAUGCGGGGGAUGUGAUGAAUGCCUUAGGGUUGUAAAGCUCUUUUACCCGAGAUGAGAAUGACAGUACCGGGAGAAGAAGCUCCGGCUAACUACGUG